rnacentral:rRNA from 2 species
CCUGGCUCAGGACGAACGCUGGCGGCGUGCUUAACACAUGCAAGUCGAACGGUGAUGUCAGAGCUUGCUCUGGCGGAUCAGUGGCGAACGGGUGAGUAACACGUGAGUAACCUGCCCCCGACUCUGGGAUAACUGCUAGAAAUGGUAGCUAAUACCGGAUAUGACGAUUGGCCGCAUGGUCUGGUCGUGGAAAGAAUUUCGGUUGGGGAUGGACUCGCGGCCUAUCAGGUUGUUGGUGAGGUAAUGGCUCACCAAGCCUACGACGGGUAGCCGGCCUGAGAGGGUGACCGGCCACACUGGGACUGAGACACGGCCCAGACUCCUACGGGAGGCAGCAGUGGGGAAUAUUGCACAAUGGGCGAAAGCCUGAUGCAGCAACGCCGCGUGAGGGAUGACGGCCUUCGGGUUGUAAACCUCUUUUAGUAGGGAAGAAGCGAAAGUGAC